UUACCGAGUUAGGGUCUUUAUGGCCCGACCUCCAACCCUUUGUUUACUAUACCAUGUUGCUUUGGCGGGCCUGCCUUUCAGGGCUGCCGGGUGGCUUUACCGCCCCUGACCCGUGCCCGCCAGGAGCCCUCCUUAAAUUCUGUUAAAAUUGUGCCGUCUGAGUCUUAAUAUCAAAUUAUGAAAAACUUUCAACAACGGAUCUCUUGGUUCUGGCAUCGAUGAAGAACGCAGCGAAAUGCGAUAAGUAAUGCGAAUUGCAGAAUUCAGUGAGUCAUCGAAUCUUUGAACGCAUAUUGCGCCCUUUGGUAUUCUGAAGGGCAUGCCUGUUCGAGCGUCAUUAUCACUGUCAAGCUUGGCUUGUUGUUGGACCCCUUUGUCACCUGGUGACAGGUCCAAAAGAUAAUGACNCGGUGUCUUGAAGACUCUAAAUGCAACGAGCUUGUAACAGCACGCAUCUAGUAGUCAUCUGACUUUGGUCGUCACAUCUUUUAUUUUUCCAAGGUUGACCUCGGAUCAGGUAGGAAUACCCGCUGAACUUAAGCAUAUCAAUAAGCGGAGGAAAAGAAACCAACAGGGAUUACCUUAGUAACGGCGAGUGAAGCGGUAACAGCUCAAAUUUAAAAUCUGUCCUUCGCAGGUCCGAGUUGUAAUUUGUAGAGGAUGUUUCGGGCAAGGCUGUGGUUUAAGUUUCUUGGAACAGAACGUCAUAGAGGGUGAGAGUCCCGUCUAGAACCAAAGGCUGCGUCUAUGUGAAACUCCUUCGACGAGUCGAGUUGUUUGGGAAUGCAGCUCAAAAUGGGUGGUAAAUUUCAUCUAAAGCUAAAUAUUGGCCAGAGACCGAUAGCGCACAAGUAGAGUGAUCGAAAGAUGAAAAGCACUUUGAAAAGAGAGUUAAACAGUAUGUGAAAUUGUUGAAAGGGAAGCGUGGCUAUCGAUGAAGAGCGCGGCGGUUCCCCUGGCCUUUUGGCCAGGUUACUCCGUCGUGUCCAGGCCAACAUCGGUUUCGAGGGUCGGUUAAAGGCUCCGGGAAUGUAUCUACCCACGGGUAGACUUAUAGACCGGGGUGUCAUGCGACCCC
rnacentral:rRNA from 1 species